UACGUAGGGUGCGAGCGUUGUCCGGAAUUAUUGGGCGUAAAGAGCUCGUAGGCGGUGUGUCACGUCGGCCGUGAAAACCUGCAGCUUAACUGCGGGCCUGCAGCCGAUACGGGCAGGCUAGAGUUCGGUAGGGGAGACUGGAAUUCCUGGUGUAGAGGUGAAAUUCGUAGAUAUCUGGAGGAACAACGGUGGCGAAGGCGGCUCUCUGGACUGUAACUGACACUAAGGCGCGAAAGCGUGGGGAGCAAACAGG
rnacentral:rRNA from 1 species